GCGAAAAGAACCCCGGCGAGGGGAGUGAAAAAGAACCUGAAACCGUGUACGUACAAGCAGUGGGAGCCCCACCACUAAGCCAGUGGUGAACUCCACAUCCGCAUCCUUUGCUGAGGAUACGGUUAACGGAGCGAAAGCGACGUUCAACCGCAAAACAAGCAGAGGGGGCUUAGUGGUGGGGUGACUGCGUACCUUUUGUAUAAUGGGUCAGCGACUUAUAUUCUGUAGCAAGGUUAACCGAAUAGGGGAGCCGGAGGGAAACCGAGUCUUAAUUGGGCGUUAAGUUGCAGGGUAUAGACCCGAAACCCGGUGAUCUAGCCAUGGGCAGGUUGAAGGUUGGGUAACACUAACUGGAGGACCGAACCGACUAAUGUUGAAAAAUUAGCGGAUGACCUGUGGCUGGGGGUGAAAGGCCAAUCAAACCGGGAGAUAGCUGGUUCUCCCCGAAAGCUAUUUAGGUAGCGCCUCGUGAAUUCAUCUCCGGGGGUAGAGCACUGUUUCGGCUAGGGGGCCAUCCCGGCUUACCAACCCGAUGCAAACUGCGAAUACCGGAGAAUGUUAUCACGGGAGACACACGGCGGGUGCUAACGUCCGUCGUGAAGAGGGAAACAACCCAGACCGCCAGCUAAGGUCCCAAAGUCAUGGUUAAGUGGGAAACGAUGUGGGAAGGCCCAGACAGCCAGGAUGUUGGCUUAGAAGCAGCCAUCAUUUAAAGAAAGCGUAAUAGCUCACUGGUCGAGUCGGCCUGCGCGGAAGAUGUAACGGGGCUAAACCAUGCACCGAAGCUGCGGCAGCGAACGUAUCACCCAAGACAACUUUACGGAGUUGACGAUUGACGGAGCGAAGCGACGUCAAAGCGUUCAUUAAAGUCGAGUUGGCUUA
rnacentral:rRNA from 1 species